rnacentral:lncRNA from 7 species
UUCUUCACUGCAGUCUCGCUGUCCCCACGCUGCUCCUGCCUCAUGGCACCAACGGUUGUGGUCCCUUGCAGGUUGGUGUCUGGUGGCAGAGAGCAGGGCACAGCAAGUGCAGCGACCCUCCCUGUCGCUGCACCCCAGACAGGGGGUGUCCCUGGGGGACACUGUCACCCUGCGCUGCCACCUCCCCCAGCCGGCUGCCUGGGUUGAGCUCUACCAGGAUAAACUUCUGAGAUCCUACAAGUGCAUGGACAAGCAUCAGGUCAUGGCUGAGUUCUCCUUGGUUUGUGUAAAGCUGGAAGAUGCAUGAAGUAUUGGUGCCAGUACCGGGUUUUGGAGCCACCGUGGGUAUCAGAGAAGAGUGUCCCCAUCGAAUUGGUGGUGGUGCAAGACAAGGCUCUUGCCGUAACAACAGAUGCUGCAAAGCCGUGAGAUAACCAGACAGCCUUUGUGGGACCACCAAUGGCACUGCUUCACCUCAAGAACCUUUCUGGUACAGACACAUUCUGACCACUGUGGCAUUGUGAACUCACUUCUUUACAUCCUUGCGAUGCUGCAGCUGCCCACCAGCAGACACAAAGGGAUGCCCAGAGAAGCUGCAUUUCUUGCUGUCUCCUUUUGGCCAGGUGGAGACUUCAACCAUUGGAUGAGCGCUCUCAUCCCCCCUUCUGCUCCAGCACUGCAGCUCCCCAAAAUGGACCACGAUUGCCUUUCUCCCUCCAACUCUCUCUCUCUUACGUUCCUUCUCUGCUUCUCUCCAUUUCCUCUCUUUCUUUCGUUUUCUCUCUCCCUCAUUUACAUCCCGGUCAUCUUUACUCUUCUCCUGCAGCAGCCAUAAACUCAGUUUCCCUGGAGGUAGCAGAGAAGGCAAUAACACCAGUGUCAAAGUAUCCUUUCUCUGUAUUGCGCAUUCAUUGUUACUUAUUGUAAGUCCCCUAAUUGCAGUGCAGGGCAGUUGAUUGGCUGAUGGUGGACAUUUCAAUAAAUGGUCUUCUGUCGU